rnacentral:rRNA from 1 species
UUCGAUUAGAGUUUGAUCAUGGCUCAGAUUGAACGCUGGCGGCAGGCCUAGCACAUGCAAGUCGAACGGUAACAGGAAACAGCUUGCUGUUUCGCUGACGAGUGGCGGACGGGUGAGUAAUGUCUGGGAAACUGCCUGAUGGAGGGGGAUAACUACUGGAAACGGUAGCUAAUACCGCAUAACGUCGCAAGACCAAAGAGGGGGACCCUCGGGCCUCUUGCCAUCGGAUGUGCCCAGAUGGGAUUAGCUUGUUGGUGGGGUAACGGCUCACCAAGGCGACGAUCCCUAGCUGGUCUGAGAGGAUGACCAGCCACACUGGAACUGAGACACGGUCCAGACUCCUACGGGAGGCAGCAGUGGGGAAUAUUGCACAAUGGGCGCAAGCCUGAUGCAGCCAUGCCGCGUGUAUGAAGAAGGCCUUCGGGUUGUAAAGUACUUUCAGCGGGGAGGAAGGGAGUAAAGUUAAUACCUUUGCUCAUUGACGUUACCCGCAGAAGAAGCACCGGCUAACUCCGUGCCAGCAGCCGCGGUAAUACGGAGGGUGCAAGCGUUAAUCGGAAUUACUGGGCGUAAAGCGCACGCAGGCGGUUUGUUAAGUCAGAUGUGAAAUCCCCGGGCUCAACCUGGGAACUGCAUCUGAUACUGGCAAGCUUGAGUCUCGUAGAGGGGGGUAGAAUUCCAGGUGUAGCGGUGAAAUGCGUAGAGAUCUGGAGGAAUACCGGUGGCGAAGGCGGCCCCCUGGACGAAGACUGACGCUCAGGUGCGAAAGCGUGGGGAGCAAACAGGAUUAGAUACCCUGGUAGUCCACGCCGUAAACGAUGUCGACUUGGAGGUUGUGCCCUUGAGGCGUGGCUUCCGGAGCUAACGCGUUAAGUCGACCGCCUGGGGAGUACGGCCGCAAGGUUAAAACUCAAAUGAAUUGACGGGGGCCCGCACAAGCGGUGGAGCAUGUGGUUUAAUUCGAUGCAACGCGAAGAACCUUACCUGGUCUUGACAUCCACGGAAGUUUUCAGAGAUGAGAAUGUGCCUUCGGGAACCGUGAGACAGGUGCUGCAUGGCUGUCGUCAGCUCGUGUUGUGAAAUGUUGGGUUAAGUCCCGCAACGAGCGCAACCCUUAUCCUUUGUUGCCAGCGGUCCGGCCGGGAACUCAAAGGAGACUGCCAGUGAUAAACUGGAGGAAGGUGGGGAUGACGUCAAGUCAUCAUGGCCCUUACGACCAGGGCUACACACGUGCUACAAUGGCGCAUACAAAGAGAAGCGACCUCGCGAGAGCAAGCGGACCUCAUAAAGUGCGUCGUAGUCCGGAUUGGAGUCUGCAACUCGACUCCAUGAAGUCGGAAUCGCUAGUAAUCGUGGAUCAGAAUGCCACGGUGAAUACGUUCCCGGGCCUUGUAGACA